GACGAACCGAGCGAACGUUGUUCGGAAUCACUGGGCUUAAAGGGCGCGUAGGCGGGCUGUCAAGUCUGGGGUGAAAUCCCACGGCUCAACCCGUGGAACUGCCUUAGAUACUGACGGCCUCGAGGGAGAUAGGGGCGAGCGGAACUGUGAGUGGAGCGGUGAAAUGCGUUGAUAUUCACAGGAACUCCGGUGGCGAAGGCGGCUCGCUGGAUCUUUUCUGACGCUGAGGCGCGAAAAGCUAGGGGAGCAAACGGG
rnacentral:rRNA from 1 species